rnacentral:lncRNA from 1 species
UUUAGGAUUUUUUUAUUAUUUUUCUUUGAAGUUAAUUUAUGACUUCUUUAUAUUUCUUUUGAAAUUUUUUUUAAUUUUUUUUGAAUUGAUUAAAGUUUGAUUAAGAUUAUUAAAGAUUACUUAGAAUUUAUUUAGGAUUCUAUCAAACUUGAUAGGAUCUUAUUGUUGCAUUUUUUAUUUACCUUCUACAAUUAAGAGCUUGAUGCAUUUUCAAGUAAGAUUUCAUGUUAUAU